rnacentral:rRNA from 1 species
UACGGAGGGAGCUAGCGUUGUUCGGAUUUACUGGGCGUAAAGCGCACGUAGGCGGCUCAGCAAGUCAGGGGUGAAAUCCCGGGGCUCAACCCCGGAACUGCCCUUGAAACUGCUAAGCUAGAAUCUUGGAGAGGCGAGUGGAAUUCCGAGUGUAGAGGUGAAAUUCGUAGAUAUUCAGAAGAACACCAGUGGCGAAGGCGACUCGCUGGACAAGUAUUGACGCUGAGGUGCGAAAGCGUGGGGAGCAAACAGG